UGGUACAGAUCUUGUAAAAUCGGGCCGAGAACGCACCACAGAUCGCAAAGUCGCACCCAGGCAUCGCGUAGGUCUUUCUUCCAUCGCACGCCGUUGCACUAUUCCCUUUAUGGCUUUCUGUUUCCAGCCCAAACGGACCAGUCUCUCAGAUCCAGCAUCUAGUUCAGUGUACCGAACAACCCUUUCUGCCACACGCUGAUCUUCUUCUCUAAUUUACUUUCUUUUUUUACACAC
rnacentral:lncRNA from 1 species